rnacentral:lncRNA from 1 species
CCACCAGAAUGGAGUACCCUUGUCAUGAAUGACGACAAAAAAGACGUGCCUUAGGAAGACAAUAACAAAACUUAAUGAAAAAAAAAUAAUGGAGGAAAAGGAUGAACCUAACGUGGUGAAAAUAGAGGAGGAAUGGAGAAGGAAAACAAUAACGAAAGAAAUGGGGAUGUCUUCACAGUGAGGGAAAUGGAAGAAUGAAAGUGUUGGCAAUGAGAAGUUAACCGUGGCAAAAAUGGAAGGACAUGAGUGUUGGCUUAAAAAAAGGCACUGCAACUGCUAGAGAGUGUACGAGUGAAGUUACAACAGCAGGGAGAACGUGAAUGUUGGCUUUGAAAUUGGUGCUCUAGUGGUGAGAAAGUGUAUGAGUGGAGUUACAACUACGAAAAUUGAGCAACAGUUGUGGAGAUUGUAAUGAGAGUAGAGUGUAAAACUUCUUUUCAAUGAGACAAUGCAACAAAGAGUUUAUGCGAGUGUAAAAUUCAUAAAAUUUAACCUUGAAGAGAGGUUUAGGUUUUAGUUGUUUGUAAAACCGAAGCCUAAACACAAAUAAACUUUGAUUUUACCAACAAUCAAAGCCUAAUGGUGCCACUAAAAUAAAAUAAAAAAUAACAAUGAUA